GACGAACGCUGGCGGCGCGCUUAACACAUGCAAGUCGAGCGAAGCGGCGGACGGGUGAGUAACACGUGAGUAACCUGCCUUUUACACAGGGAUAGCCUCGGUCAACCGGGAUUAAAACCUGAUGGUAAAAGAUGGACUCGCGUCCCAUUAGCUGGUUGGUGAGGUAACGGCCCACCAAGGCAACGAUGGGUAGCCGGCCUGGGAGGGGGAACGGCCACGUUGGAAAUGAGAAACGGUCCAAACUCUACGGGAGGCGGAAGUGGGGAAUAUUGCACAAUGGGGGAAGCCCUGAUGCGGCGACGCGGCGUGAGCGAAGAAGGCUUUCGGGUCGUAAAGCUAUUUUAUAUGGGAAGCGGUACCAGAAGAAAAAGCCCCGGCUAACUACGUGCCAGCAGCCGCGGUAAUAC
rnacentral:rRNA from 1 species